rnacentral:rRNA from 1 species
AGAGUUUGAUCAUGGCUCAGGAUGAACGCUGGCGGCAGGCUUAAUACAUGCAAGUCAAGGGGCCCCCGGUUUGUACCAAUGCCGAUGCUGGCAACCGGCAAUCGGUUGCCGACCCCUUACACCACCUUCCUUUACCUGGGGAAUAGCCCAUACAAGUUUGGAUUACUACCCCGUACCAUCUAUGAUGUGGCAUCACAUUAUAAUUAUAGCGUCCGGCGCUUAAUGAUGGAGUGUGCGGCUGAUUAGGUAGUUGGCGGGGUAACGGCCCACCAAGGCUGCGAUCAGUAACUGGUGUGAGAGCACGACCAGUCACACGGGCACUGAGACACGGGCCCGACUCCUACGGGAGGCAGCAGUAAGGAAUAUUGGGCAAUGGACGCAACUCUGACCCAGCCAUGCCGCGUGAAGGAUGAAGGCCCUCUGGGUUGUAAACUUCUUUUAUUUGGGACAAAAGAGGGCUUUUCUACGUCAACUGAGAGUACCAGAUGAGUAAGCACCGGAUAACUCCGUGCCAGCGGCCGCGGUAAUACGGAUGGUGCGAUCGCUAUCCGGAUUCACUGGGUUUGAAGGGUGCGUACGUGGAUUGGUACGUCUAUGUCGAAAGCGCCGACCUUAGCUUGGGAACUGCCAUUGAUACUGUCACUGCUGAGUAUUGUGUAGGUCAACGAAGUAUGACUUGUAGCUGUGACAUGCUUAUGUAUGACUUACAAGACGAAUUGCGAAGGCAACUGGCUAUCUCUAUAUUGACUCUGACGCACAAGCGCGUGGGGAUCGGCACGAUUAGAUCACUGGCAUCCA